AACGAUGAGUGCUAAGUGUUGGAGGUUUCCCCUUCAGUGCUGCAGCAAACGCAUUAAGCACUCCGCUGGGGAGUACGACCGCAAGGUUGAAACUCAAAGGAGUUGGCGGGGGCCCGCACAAGCGGUGGAGCAUGUGGUUUAAUUCGAAGCAACGCGAAGAACCUUACCAGGUCUUGACAUCCUUUGACCACUCUAGAGAUAGAGCUUUCCCUUCGGGGACAAAGUGACAGGUGGUGCAUGGUUGUCGUCAGCUCGUGUCGUGAGAUGUUGGGUUAAGUCCCGCAACGAGCGCAACCCUUAUUGUUAGUUGCCAUCAUUUAGUUGGGCACUCUAGCGAGACUGCCGGUGACAAACCGGAGGAAGGUGGGGAUGACGUCAAAUCAUCAUGCCCCUUAUGACCUGGGCUACACACGUGCUACAAUGGGAAGUACAACGAGUCGCUAGGCCGCGAGGUCAUGCAAAUCUCUUAAAGCUUCUCUCAGUUCGGAUUGUAGGCUGCAACUCGCCUACAUGAAGCCGGAAUCGCUAGUAAUCGCGGAUCAGCACGCCGCGGUGAAUACGUUCCCGGGCCUUGUACACACCGCCCGUCACACCACGAAAGUUUGUAACACCCGAAGUCGGUGAGGUAACCUUUUGGAGCCAGCCGCCUAAGGUGGGAUAGAUGAUUGGGGUGAAGUCGUAACAAGGUAACCA
rnacentral:rRNA from 1 species